rnacentral:lncRNA from 1 species
GGGUUUGGUGCCAGCUGCGGGGCGCCUGGGCUUGGGGAAGAAACCUUGUGUACGCACACCUGCACACACACACAGUCUCCGGAGGUUAAUACCUCUGCCAACCGAGGCCACCCUCCCUCGGACCCCCAUUCGGAGGAAGCAGACCCAAGUUCGAAUUCUGACAUUGCCACUGAGCAGCCGUACAACUUUUGAACGGGGAUGACGAGCUUUUAUUUGCCUGCCUCCCUGGGGAUGUUGUUUGCGAGGCCAGACAUACUGGCUGGGAACUGCUUUGAAAAAUAUAAAGCUGCACUCAGAGAAACACAGAGAGACACACUGAAGGAAAAGCAAACACAAAUCUGGAGAAAAAUCUUUUCUAAAAACAUCCAAUACUUCUCUACAGCCAGAAAAAAAAA